rfam:Methanoplanus limicola DSM 2279 chromosome, whole genome shotgun sequence.
AGCGAGGUGGGGUAGUCAGGAAAUCCCGUCGGGCUCAUAACCCGAAGAUCAAUGGUUCAAAUCCAUUCCUCGCUA